GAUGAACGCUGGCGGCGUGCCUAAUACAUGCAAGUCGAGCGAAUGGAUUAAGAGCUUGCUCUUAUGAAGUUAGCGGCGGACGGGUGAGUAACACGUGGGUAACCUGCCCAUAAGACUGGGAUAACUCCGGGAAACCGGGGCUAAUACCGGAUAACACUUUGAACCGCAUGGUUCGAAAUUGAAAGGCGGCUUCGGCUGUCACUUAUGGAUGGACCCGCGUCGCAUUAGCUAGUUGGUGAGGUAACGGCUCACCAAGGCAACGAUGCGUAGCCGACCUGAGAGGGUGAUAGGCCACACUGGGACUGAGACACGGCCCAGACUCCUACGGGAGGCAGCAGUAGGGAAUCUUCCGCAAUGGACGAAAGUCUGACGGAGCAACGCCGCGUGAGUGAUGAAGGCUUUCGGGUCGUAAAACUCUGUUGUUAGGGAAGAACAAGCGCUAGUUGAAUAAGCUGGCACCUUGACGGUACCUAACCAGAAAGCCACGGCUAACUACGUGCCAGCCGCCGCAGUAA
rnacentral:rRNA from 1 species